UUGCAUGAUACCAUAAUGGUAGACAAUGACAUUAUGCAUUGGUCAAAGGCCAUAGGACAGUAUGUGGUGUUUAUAUGUUUAGUCUUUGUCUCCAGUUCCUGGACCAGAGCUUCAGAAACCCUUCAAGUUUCACGAGUGAUAAAGUGCAUCUUUGUUAUGCUAAUGAGGUAGCUAAUGGCCAGAUGUGAAAGGAGCCCUAGAUAGCUUCGUGAUGGAGGCCGGUUGCCAGAAAGACCAAGCUUGUGAUUAGAGAGUUGGUACUUUCAGCCUUGGUUCCCAGAGUUUAAGGAGGAGACAACACUGGAGACUGAGUUCGUGCAUAGGUUCCCAGGUAGAAGAAACAUGUCCUAAGCUCCUGACUGAGAAUCUGAAUGGAUUGGACUUCCCACCAGAAAGUCUUGAAGCUACGGAACAAUGGAGCCAUGCCUUCAAAAUUCUAAGGGAAAGUGAUUUCUAACCGACAACUGUAUACUGAACCGAUCAAGAUCAUUCAAGUGUGAUAGAACGAAGACUUUUUCUACAUACUACAAAGAAUCAAUCAUAAAGUUUCUCUCUCAAGCUCUCUUUGACAGGAAGUAAGUGGCAAAUUAAAUGUGCACUUGCCGCACAAAAAUAAGAAGACCGCAAGUCAAAGGAGGUGAGAAGUUUCCCACAACACAGAGGCUUCAGCAUCAGUUAAGAGGCAAACAUUGGUGAAGGAUGUUGUUGAAAGGAGACCCUGGGAUGACAGGUGGACAAAGGGCGAUUGCGGCCUCCUCACAGAUAGAAUCCUCAGUGUGGAAACUGGAGCAGGAAUACCACAUGGAAAGAUUUCACCGCCUCCAGUCAUUAAAAGCUCCGUGACCAAGAGAAGCAUGCAACCUGGACUAAGAAAGCAUAGGAAACCAUAAACUCUGAUCUGGCUGUAGGACUGGAUGCGGGGCAGGACGGGGCCUGGGAUCCAGCUCUUCUCUCCAGCUUAUCUCUUAACUCAGGCUAAUGGACAGCAAAACCACCCUGCAGGCAAUAGUGAAUGAUGUGACAAGACCUCCAGUUGGACCAGAUGACCCAGACCAGUUUGAACUAAACCCCUGACUUGCACCUGCACAGAGGGGCCAUGGAGUAACCUCUGGAAUGACCAACAAUCACCUUUAUCUCAUUAUAAUACUAAGAUCUCCAUUCAAGGAGGGAACAGUAGCCUCAUUUACAUAACAUGUAUGUGUAGGCAUGUUCCUUUCAGGCCCAUGCAUGACCUUAUGCCCACCUCUGCGUAUGAUGACAAGACUUCCUCAUCUAAACAUUCAUCUUAACCCUAAACAAAAGAAACCCAAUCACCCUUGCUUGAAGAGUCAGGGCUUUGGAAGUUAUUCCUUGCAAUCUCCUGAUUUGCUGCAAAUAAAGUUUCCUUUGUGUGACAA